UGUUAAGGCUAGGGGGUCAUCCCGACUUACCAACCCUUUGCAAACUCCGAAUACCGUAAAGUACUAUCCGGGAGACACACGGCGGGUGCUAACGUCCGUCGUGAAGAGGGAAACAACCCAGACCGCCAGCUAAGGUCCCAAAGUCAUAGUUAAGUGGGAAACGAUGUGGAAAGGCCCAGACAGCCAGGAGGUUGGCUUAGAAGCAGCCAUCCUUUAAAAAGCGUAAUAGCUCACUGGUCGAGUCGGUCUGCGCGGAAGAUGUAACGGGGCUAAACUAUGCACCGAAGCUGCGGAUUCAUACUUUGUAUGAGUGGUAGGGGAGCGUUCUGUAAGCGGUUGAAGGUGUACCGGGAGGUAUGCUGGACGUAUCAGAAGUGCGAAUGCUGACAUGAGUAACGAUAAUGCGGGUGAAAAACCCGCACGCCGGAAGACCAAGGGUUCCUAUCCCAUGUUAAUCAGGGUAGGGUAAGUCGACCCCUAAGGCGAGGCCGAAAGGCGUAGUCGAUGGGAAACGGAUUAAUAUUUCCGUACUUGGUAUAAUUGCGAUGGGGGGACGGAGAAGGCUAAGCAAGCAUGGCGAUGGUUGUCCAUGUGAAAGUGAGUAGGGCGUUUGUUUAGGUAAAUCCGGACGAACAUUAAACCUGAGACACGAGACGAGCUACUACGGUAGUGAAGUUGCUGAUGCCAUACUUCCAGGAAAAGCCUCUAAGCUUCAGAUUAUACCGAAUCGUACCCCAAACCGACACAGGUGGUCAGGUAGAGAAUACUAAGGCGCUUGAGAGAACUCGGGUGAAGGAACUAGGCAAAAUCGUACCGUAACUUCGGGAGAAGGUACGCUCCUAUCUGUGAUGAGACUUGCUCUCUAAGCGGACGGGAGCCGCAGUGACCAGGUGGCUGGGACUGUUUAUUAAAAACACAGCACUGUGCAAAAUCGCAAGAUGACGUAUACGGUGUGACACCUGCCCGGUGCCGGAAGGUUAAUUGAUGGGGUUAUCUUCGGAGAAGCUCUUGAUCGAAGCCCCGGUAAACGGCGGCCGUAACUAUAACGGUCCUAAGGUAGCGAAAUUCCUUGUCGGGUAAGUUCCGACCUGCACGAAUGGUGUAACCAUGGCCACGCUGUCUCCACCCGAGACUCAGUGAAAUUGAAAUCGCAGUGAAGAUGCUGUGUACCCGCGGCUAGACGGAAAGACCCCGUGAACCUUUACUACAGCUUGGCACUGAACAUUGAACCUACAUGUGUAGGAUAGGUGGGAGACUUUGAAGAUGAGACGCUAGUCUUGUUGGAGUCGUCCUUGAAAUACCACCCUUGUAGUUUUGAUGUUCUAACGUUGGCCCCUGAAUCGGGGUUACGGACAGUGCCUGGUGGGUAGUUUGACUGGGGCGGUCUCCUCCCAAAGAGUAACGGAGGAGCACGAAGGUUGGCUAAGUACGGUCGGACAUCGUACGGUUAGUGCAAUGGCAUAAGCCAGCUUAACUGCGAGACAGACACGUCGAGCAGGUACGAAAGUAGGUCAUAGUGAUCCGGUGGUUCUGAAUGGAAGGGCCAUCGCUCAACGGAUAAAAGGUACUCCGGGGAUAACAGGCUGAUACCGCCCAAGAGUUCAUAUCGACGGCGGUGUUUGGCACCUCGA
rnacentral:rRNA from 1 species